AUGCUUGAUCUCAAUGAGUUGCCCCCUGAUCUCAAUGAGCUUCCUCAUGAUAUGGAUCAACAGCAACCCAGCAUACAACAAGGAAAUUGGACAGAAAAUGGUCGAUCUGUUUACUACACGCAGGCAAGUCGUGAUGGUAACCCUACGAGCCAUGACAAUAUGGCAGGCCAGUCAUUAGCCCAUGGUGCCCAUGUAGUGGUGUCUUUGCAGUUAGAGAGCCAUACUCUUGAUGACACGGAAACCGAGGCAAAUGUUUCUGGUCCAACCAGGACUGAGCUAGGAGCUGGGGCUGUUGACAGAGCUGUGCAAGGAGAAGAAGGAGAGGAUGAGGCUGGUUCUCAACCUAUGGAACCCUAUGUUGGCAUGAGGUUUGACAACCUUCAAAUUGCUAAGGAUCACUACAACAGCUAUGCACUACGGAUAGGUUUCUCUAUCAAGAUGAACACCUCUAGGCGGGCACCCCGCACCAAUGAAUUGAUAAAACAACAGUUUUGCUGCAACAAGUUUAAGAAGCCCAAAGCUGAUGAUGGAGGAGCUGAGGCUCCUCCUGUCCUGGACGCUAUUCCAGAUCCAAAAUCUGUUAACAGUGAUGAGGAGAUGGAAGAAGAACCUCCAAUAUUUGCUGAAGAGGAGGCUGGUACUAGUAAGAAGAAGAAGAAGAAGCGCAAAUGCGAGACAAUAAAGCAGACUGAAUGCAAGGCGAAAAUGUUGGUGAAGCUGAUAGAUGGGCGAUGGGAGGUGACACACUUUGUUCCUGACCACAAUCAUCCGCUCGUGAACAAACCUUCAUUGUCCAAAUAUUUGAGAUCCCACCAAGGCAUCUCACCUGAUGAAAAGGAGUUUCUGCGCAUCUUGUAUAACUGCAACUUGACUACAGGACGAAUGAUGCAUGUAAUGGCAGAGUUCUAUGGAUUUGAGAUGAUGGUGCCGUUCGGACCAAAGGCAAUAACAAAUCUUUGUACAAGUUUCCAUAGAGAUGACACAAAGGAGGGUGAUCUGAUUGAGACAAUUGCACACUUUAAGGAUAUACAAAAAACCGAUCCAGACCUUCUUCUAUAA
rnacentral:rRNA from 1 species